rnacentral:rRNA from 1 species
UACGUAGGGUGCAAGCGUGGUCCGGAAUUAUUGGGCGUAAAGAGUUCGUAGGCGGUUUGUCGCGUCUGCUGUGAAAACUCGGGGCUUAACUCCGGGCCUGCAGUGGGUACGGGCAGACUAGAGUGCGGUAGGGGAGACUGGAAUUCCUGGUGUAGCGGUGAAAUGCGCAGAUAUCAGGAGGAACACCGGUGGCGAAGGCGGGUCUCUGGGCCGUAACUGACGCUGAGGAGCGAAAGCGUGGGGAGCGAACAGG